rnacentral:lncRNA from 1 species
CUCAGCCUCUCUCACCGCCUCCCUCUCUCUCUCAUCUCUCUCACUCUCCACUCCUGGCGGCGGAUGGUGGGUCGGUGGCACUGCGGCAGCGGCUGGAGUUGCGCGACGGCGCAGCAGGCUGACGCCGGACGGCAAGCGCUGCAGCGGGGUGCGCUGCGGCGCUGCGGCCUGCGCCCUGCGCGCCAUCCGGCAGCUCGGCAGGGGGAGGCAGGGGCCGCGAGCCUCGAGGCAACGACGCCGGCGAGGGCACGAGGCCGAGGUGUAGGGGCGUGGUGGCCGGCGCUAGCGGGGAGGGUGGAGGGGGUGAGGUCGAAGACAGAAGGAUGGACGCAGUGCUUGCCAACGUACCCGCCAUGGAUUUAUGUUCGCCGAAGCCUGGAGACCUGAUCUGUAGAACAGAAGGCUGCAAGUAAUUUUUUUUCCUUUCUCAAUUUUUACCUCUUUCAUUUCUUACUUUCAUCAAUUGGUCAAUUAGAAAUUUCUUACUGUCAUUAUACUUCGUUGAAUGAAUUUUCAUGGAUAGUUCUUGCCUUUACUUUGAACCCUAUGUGUGUAGAGAACCUGGUUCUGCCACUAGAAAGAAAAGACAUGGUAGGAUACGAUUGAUAGAUAUAAUUAAAGGCAUAGACAACAACAAUAAAACGGAGCAAUCAUAGAUCUAUAGAAUAACGCAUGUCCAAGGCAAUUCUUGGAACAAGGUGCCAUGCACGAUUCACCAAUUGAACACGUCAUGUACACUAACUCAUGGAUAUCACUGACCCAUGGAUAUAUUCCCCCAUCCCACUAGAAUAUUAACCUCUAUCAUUUAUGCCAAAUAAAUUUACUUAUGUUCCUUAUCUAUUAUAGUCUAUAAAUCCAUCAAUUCCAUUUUCAGUAGUCUUUAUGUACACUUGCAAUAUUACUUCCCUAUCAAUAAAAAUUAUGUUGGUCAUUUUCACUUACUUUUAAUUUGUAUCUGAAGAGUUCAGGUUGGAGUUAUUUCGGCACUAAGGCAGUAAGUAUUUUUUUUUAUUUUAUUGUAGAUAAUAACAUAAUUAUGAUAAAUAAGAAAAUAUUUUAGUUGAAAGAAGACAGUCCACAGACAAAAACGAACUGUCAGUUGGAAGAUGUAAAAAGAAAAUGAACCAACGCAUGUAAAAUAGAACGACGUCAGCUGACGAUAGGGAGUGUCAUGUCCUUUUUACUGGUGAGGUACAAAAGUUGAGAUGAAAGAGAGCAUGCCAAACCAAGGCAUCCUAACUUAAGUAGGAGCGGAACUAAAAUAAAAUAAUACAGCAGAUACCACUCACUUACUUUUAGUGUUUUGAACAGAAUUAAUAGGGUGUAUAUAUGAUGAAAAUAGAUAAAUUCUACUUAAAAAAUUUCUAAACCGGGUGGCUGGGAAUCCCAUGCAUCACAUAACUCCGCUCCUGAACAUAAGACAAAAAAUCCUUAUAACUCUAUAUAGUCUACUUUACCAUUAUAAAAAGGUAUUAGGAGAUAAAAUAGAAUAAGCUAACUUUAAUUAUAUAGACUAUCCAUAUAAAUUAAAAUACAUUAUUUCUCUCAUCUCUGUUCUCAUCGAUGGCAUUACCAACUAACACAUUAUCACUUUUCUAGUGUUGUUCUUAUAGCCGCUUUUUCGAUAGGGGAUAUAGGAUCUAGCCAUUAGGCUAGAUCCAACCGUUUCGCUUACCACCAUCUCCGCUAAUGAGCUCGUCGUCUUUCAUUCAUUGCUAAUGAGCUUUGUCAGCGCUGAGGCAAAACGUCUAACGAGGUGAUGGCGGAGCUUAACAUGCCCUAAUCUUAUGUUAAUGUAAACAAACCAACUAUUCUAUUACAUGGAAGAUUAUUAUGCUCCAAUAUAAAAUUUUCCGAAUAAACUUUUGCUGUUUCUCAAAAGGAACUUUUACAAAGGGGUCCCUGGGUUUCAACACCGAGUUAUUCUCACCAACCAUUAAUUAAUGACUAGUCAAAAAAUAAUCACAACUAGCAGCUAAUAUAUGAUGAACAAUGUAGGCCUUAUCGAUGCAAAUCUUGCAAAUGGGCUGCAAAAUAAGCUUAUGUGCUAGUGCUAAUUGGAAUUACGUAGCUCAAAACCGAAAAGGUUAGGCAGCAGAGGUAGAUUAGGAUCGACGCAGGCCAUCAAGUUAUUGGAGACGGUCAAUGGUAAUCAAGCACGGUAUUCGGUAGUGAAUUUGAACCUAUUAAGUUGGGUCGACCAUGUAACAAAUAUUAGAAAAUAUUUCAUAUGUAUCUACUCAGUUUAAUUACAAUUGAAUUUGUUUGUGUGAUGCGAUGUGUGGUCGGAGAUGACACCAAUAACUGCGACAUGCAAAUCAAGUAGUUUGCAUGCAGCAGCUAGUGAUUAGUGGCUGUGUGUAGUAUGAUGAGUAGUUGUUUUGAGUAGUUGUCGGUGAGACCGGCGGCGAAGCACAAUUUUAUAUCCAGUGCCCGGCACGGCCAGACGGCCGGUCCUCCGCUCCAUGUAUUAAUUUCAUCGCUAAUAUUUUAGCACACGGAGCCACUCAAAUGCCCAGGCCAACUUCAUCGAUCCCCCGGUUUAAAAAAGAAGUUAAUUUCAGUUUUGUACCACUAUUAUUUACCCAAAUUUCAAAAUAGACUAGUCCUAAACUCAUGUUUCCAGUUAAUACCACUUAAUAUACCUAUUUUUUGCUCUUUGGACUAAGGUUUGCUACUCUGGGCCUCCACAUCAGUUUUGGCCCAUGCCUAAUAGGCAGUAGCAGCAACCUAGAAGAGAGCUAACGUGGGAGACUCAGUUCACGGAAAAACUGCGCGGGAGUUCAUGCGGUAGUGCGCGUAGCAUGCCACGAUUUGGCCCCAAUUCUUGCCACGCUGAACUAGCUAGCUUAGUCCGCUUGACAGCAGCAUCCUCGAUGGCUUCGCUUGGCAUCGGCAUCGUCGAUCCGCUCGGCAUCAGCAGGCAGCAGCUUCGGACUGCUCCACUCGGCACCGACAUUGGCCUGGGCCGCUCCGCUUGGUAUCGGUGCUGUCGGCCAUGGUGACGUCGCUCGAUCUGCUCGAAAUCAGCUCCCUCAACAACUCCGGUCGGCUAUGACCAGUAGGCUGCAUGCUCGGUGGAAUCCUCUCACGGCAUCCUUAGCUGCUCUACUCAUGGCAUCCUCGGCUGCUCUGCUCACGACUCUCCCCUCCAGAGCUGCUAUUUGUCCCCUGUGACACAAAGAACAAGAGUGUCAAUAGCAUCUGCAACUGCCAUCCCACUUGAUCCUUGCAGCCAUUCACAAGGUAAAUCAAAUAGAGUAGUAACUGGGAUUGACCGGUUCAGUUGAAUGCCUAGAAUUUUAAUCUAAUACGUUGAUUAUUAAUCACAUCUUGUUCUUGUGCUAAGCAUAGCUGCAUGUUAAAUUUCAAAAUAAUUGUUAUCUAUAGAAAAGGCUGAGUACCUAGACAACAACUUGUAUAACGUGAUACUAGAUGUUAUGUAUUUUGUCUUUAGAAGGUAACAUUUUAUAUUUUCCUACAAAUGUUUGAACAAAUGUACCUAAAAAAAGUUUAACUUCAUGUCAUAAAAGAAACAUAGUAUGUGUUUAAAUUUUUUUCAUGAAAUAAUAAUAGUACUUAAUGAUUUCUUGUAUAUACUAGCAUAUCGUCUAUGCGUUACAACGGAAUUUUAUUAAAAAAUAUCAUUAGCAUGUUAAUAAGUAGAGUUAAUAAAAAUGAUUUAAUAUAUAGAUCUGAAUUAUUUUUUUAAAAAAAAUAGGAGGGAGUUGGUGGUGGGGUAGAUAGCAGAUUUACCAUCACCACUACUCAUGUUUAUAGUAGUAUAGAUGUUGGUGAUAUAGGAUGGCUAGUGAGUAUUGGUCACUAAGGCUUUUCAAGCAUGACCGGGAACGAAACACCGAUAUUGUGUAGAAGAAGAUACAUACAGAUAAUAUAUGCUACUCCAACUUGGUGAAGCUUUUGGAAGCGGAGAGUUAUGAAGCAUGCGAUGACUUAUUUUCACCAGUAGCGAUACGUACUCUUGUGGCACUUUGACCAAGAUUAGAGAUGAAACAAAUGUGAAAGAUAUGAUCAUGGAGAAUGGAAACAACAAGAGGGUUGAUUUGCACAUGUUCAAGGCAAUGCACACAACACCAUUUUCUCCUCUAAAAAUAGAUCAUGUUGAAGUUGUUGCCGGGUCAUCUCUGGAGCAAGAUGACAUUGAUUAUAACACUGAACCAACAACCAUGCAUUGAGCACGAUCGGCAUAGCAUUUCAAUUGGUGACACAGAUCAUGAACAAGAAAAGGAUGGUUAUGUUGAGAAACUAAAGGAGAUGAAGAGACAGAGGGAAGAUCCAAUGAGCCAUUGUGAAGAUGAUACCGAUAUUGAGGAUUUGUAUGCCCAAGAGGAUGAUGGUAAAGAUUUAGCUGUUGCGGAGGUGGUUGCUCUUAGUUCUAUGACCUGUGAGCUAUCUAAUCCACCUAGUGAGGAUGACGGAUGAAGAGAACAAGCCACCAUCAGGGAAGAGGAGGAGAGGAAAAGGAGUUCGAGUUCAGAGGAUAUAUUUUGACGAAUAGGGCUUCUGGUCAUAAUUACAGUGCUCAACUAAAAUCCUACAUAGAUGUGUAAUUAGUAGUCUAUUACUAUUUUGAACAAUGUUGCAGCCAUAUACCUUGAUCAAUGAAUCCUUGGUGUCAAUUUUAAGUAUUCCCUAUGAUAUUAUACCACUAGAGGCACAUUUUGUUUCCUCCUCUCCGUUUGCAGACCUGGGCAUUUAGUUCUCAAAUCAUGCUGACAUAUGAGGUCCGUAUUUAACUCAAACACAAUACGCAGGAGGGAAUAUACACACCAUAGCAAUAUCAUUGUAUUUCAAAGCAGCUCCAUACUGUGUUAACACCAAAAUUUGAUAAAAUCUCUUAGUGGAUUCGGUUAAGAAAAGGAUGCGAUCGGCCGACAGAAGAUUAUCUAAAAGAGUCCGAAUCCAACAAGAAAUCAUGAAGACCAUGGCAUAAAGGUUAAUUUUAUCUAUUAAUUGGAGAGUUUGUGUCUGAUUAGGACUAGAUUUCCUUUUAUCUAUUAGUAAACUUGUAUCGUAUCUAAUAGGGAUUAGAGUUAGAGUCAGAUUGGAACUUGAUAUUUCAUUUUAUCUAUUAGGAAACGUGUGUCAUGUCCAAUAUGGACUAGGAUCUACCGAUGUGUAUAAAUAUGUAUACCCAGGAUCAUUGUAAAUAAUCUACAUCUAUAUACAUAGAUCAAUAAUACUUUCGGCGCAUCGCCACCCUUUUCACCGUGGUUUCAUUACCGGCGGAGCUUGGCACCUGACGCGGGGCUGCAUCGCUUCGAUCUCCAGCAGAGAGG